CAGUAGCCGCGGUAAUACGUAGGGAGCAAGCGUUGUUCGGAUUUACUGGGCGUAAAGGGCGCGUAGGCGGCGCGGUAAGUCACUUGUGAAAUCUCUGAGCUUAACUCAGAACGGCCAAGCGAUACUGCUGUGCUAGAGUGCGGAAGAGGCAACCGGAAUUCUUGGUGUAGCGGUGAAAUGCGUAGAUAUCAAGAGGAACACCUGAGGCGAAGGCGGGUUGCUGGGCCGACACUGACGCUGAUGCGCGAAAGCCAGAGGAGCAAACGGGAUUAGAUACCCCGGUAGUCCCUGUCUCUUAUAC
rnacentral:rRNA from 1 species